rnacentral:lncRNA from 1 species
UUCUCAGUUCCUGGAACCCGCCCCCAACCCUGCGCCGCACCUGUUAACCCCUUAUCACCUGUUGACUCGCCCUCUCAGCGCUCCCACUUAACCAUUUGCCAAACACAGCUUGUUUACUUCACAGAGAGAACAGAGAGGGCGGACUAGGGAAGGGGGGCGGUUAAGGAAAGCGACAAACAAAAGUUGAAUACUCAUACUCCCUGGAGCAUCCUCGCGUUUCCCAAAGGAAAAGCUUAUCCCUGAGAAUCCAGACCUCUCGGCCUCUGAGGACGAGAAGAGGGAAGUAAUCGAAGCAGGAGGCAAACAGGUCAAUUUUCUUUCCUCAAGCUCACCCUAGGGAUAAGUACUCACCUCUGAGAGAGACGCGACUACAGCUGGUCCUCAGCAGCGCGCCCACCCCCACCCCGCGCGCGCCCCCGGGCGUCCGCAACGACUCUUCUCCCACCAGGUGUUCUCCAUGACUUCCAAAGCUGCCCAGUUAGUUCCGCAAGCACUUACCAGAUUUCCUCGGCUCCUCGGAACUCCAAUUUCUCCCCCACCCCCACUUAAAAAAAUUUAAAAACAAUUCCCAAAUGUUAUUUAAGUGGGAAGAGAGAGGAUAAAGAGCGCACAGGAAGGGUGGAGGCGGCACCAGAAGAGGGAUGGUCCCCAGGGGAGGCGCCUGUCAGCACAAGCCUGCGCUGGGAGGCGGGGGGCGUGGGAGGCAAACCCACAAACCUGCCGUCGAAUUGCCACUCCUCGUCCCCCGCACGCGAGGAUUCGAGAGAAAACAGCAGAAGAUGCAGGUGCCUAGAUGGAAGAGACAUAUCCAGCGUGAUUGAUUCUCCUGAACCAGUAUAUCCAGUUUUUUCAGAGCCUUCUGAAAAGGGAGAUUCUAUCAACACAUACCACUCACUUUCCUGACUUCGAAUUCGCGUUGUCCUCGGUGCUGACACGCCAACCCCAUCUCACACACCGGCACGUAGACAGACACACGCAAGGGGUUCGAGACAAUUUUUACACUGUUUAACACAGUUUCACCUUUAAAAGCUGGUGGGGAAACAGC